UGGUGGGUUGCCUUGUCAGGUUGAUUCCGGUAACGAACGAGACCUCAGCCUGCUAAAUAGUGACGUUCGCUUUUUGCGGACGGCUCACUUCUUAGAGGGACUAUUGGCGUUUAGUCAAUGGAAGUAUGAGGCAAUAACA
rnacentral:rRNA from 1 species